CAGAGUUCAUGCCCUUCGGGGUAGAUCUCCCACCCUAUGUAUUUAUACCUUUGUUGCUUUGGUAGGCCGUUGGGCUUCGGCCUGGCUACCGGCUCCGGCUGGUAAGUGCCUGCCAGAGACCCUUCAAACUCUGGUUAAAAUGUGUCAUGGUCUGAGUACAAUUUUUAAUUAAAGAA
rnacentral:misc_RNA from 1 species